UCAUGGUAGGCAACACCAUAUUGGACUGGAGCAUAUGCAGAAGAAGUCCCAUGCCAAGUAGGAAGUGGGAGAACACAUUGGACCCCUCCUCUUAGAGGCCUCAGCACCUCACCCCUUUUAAGAGCAAACAAAAGGAGCUUUGGGGCACAAAUCACAGUCUAAACGAUGGCAAUUCUUUAACAGUCUCCACUCUGAUCACUCACUGCAUCUGCAGCCACAGUAAAGGGAUCUCCAAACACUAUUCCAGUUAGACUUCAUGUUUAUCCAUUUACCUCCCUGCCGAAAGACUCAGAAAGAUGAACUGCUCACUCGAACAUCCCUAAGCUGCGCCCCCGGCCCUGCAUCCAUCAGGUGGUCACAGAAUGGUUACCUAUUCACCUGCCUUCCCACGUGCCAGACUGGAGAAGGAAGCCUCCUCACUGAAGGAAUGGUUCAGGCAAGGAUGUUGCUGAUAAGCCCACGAGUGUCCUCAUCCGAAUGUGCAGUGCUCGCCGUCCUUGGAGUGCCCGCCGAGAAGGCUGGACUGCCGCCAGCCUUAGCCUCGCCUUGUUCUGCCCUUGCCUCUCACUGUCUUGCCCUGAAAU